CCUACGGGAGGCAGCAGUGAGGAAUAUUGGUCAAUGGACGAGAGUCUGAACCAGCCAAGUAGCGUGAAGGAUGACUGCCCUAUGGGUUGUAAACUUCUUUUAUAUGGGAAUAAAAUGUUCCACGUGUGGGAUUUUGUAUGUACCCUAUGAAUAAGGAUCGGCUAACUCCGUGCCAGCAGCCGCGGUAAUACGGAGGAUCCGAGCGUUAUCCGGAUUUAUUGGGUUUAAAGGGAGCGUAGGUGGAUUGUUAAGUCAGUUGUGAAAGUUUGCGGCUCAACCGUAGAAUUGCAGUUGAAACUGGCAGUCUUGAGUACAGUAGAGGUGGGCGGAAUGCGUGGUGUAGCGGUGAAAUGCUUAGAUAUCACGAAGAACUCCGAUUGCGAAGGCAGUUCACUGGACUGCAACUGACACUGAGGCUCGAAAGUGUGGGUAUCAAACAGGAUUAGAUACCCUUGUAGUC
rnacentral:rRNA from 1 species